rnacentral:ncRNA from 1 species
UAACCGGAUAGCUCGACGGAGCAACAAGCGGGAUUCGUCCCCCGUUUCCGGUUAUUCCUAUCAGGGCG